CCCUUAGAUGUUCUGGGCUGCACGCGCGCUACACUGAUACUUUCAGCGAGUCCACCACCUUGCCUGGGAGGGUGGGGUAACCUCUGGAAAGUGCAUCGUGAUGGGGAUCGAUUAUUGUAAUUAUUAAUCUUCAACGAGGAAUUCCUAGUAGACGUAGUUCAUCAGACUGCAUCGAUUACGUCCCUGCCCUUUGUACACACCGCCCGUCGCUCCUACCGAUUGAAUGCUCAGGUGAGCCAUUCGGACUUUCAUCAUGCUGGUUUCCAGUUUUGAUGAAGGAAAGUCUUGCGAACCUUAUCAUUUAGAGGAAGGAGAAGUCGUAACA
rnacentral:rRNA from 1 species